UACGUAGGUGGCGAGCGUUGUCCGGAUUUACUUGGCGUAAAGGAUGCGUAGGUGGAAACUUAAGUGGGAUGUGAAAUCCCCGGGCUCAACCCUGGAACUGCAUUCCAAACUGGGUAUCUAGAGUGCAGGAGAGGAAAGCGGAAUUCCUAGUGUAGCGGUGAAAUGCGUAGAUAUUAGGAAGAACACCAGUGGCGAAGGCGGCUUUCUGGACUGUAACUGACACUGAGGCAUGAAAGCGUGGGGAGCAAACAGG
rnacentral:rRNA from 1 species